AAACCAUGAUGAGGGCAAUCUCUCUCAUACUCCUUGAAUCGCUCCCAGGCUUCAUUGAAUGAUUCUAUUAGGCCUUGUUGGAAGCUUUGUAUCUUGUUCUCAACUGGUUC